UUCAAUCAUUCGUGGCCUACGCCACACCGCGUUCUUUCGCCCCCCGACAGUUCCGCGCAUCGUUCACUGCCGGGCGACAAACAGCCGGGAAAGACGUGCACGGAAGUAUGGAACCGAUUCGCGACGCAGUCAACUCGCAUUCCUUGCGGUCGCGUUCGCUCGCCUGUGUGUAGUUAUAGUAAUGUGUGUGUAGUUAGUAAGUAGUUAGUGGUGUAGUAAUCACAGCAGAGAAAACAUUCGCGACGACAGCGCGACCUUCGUCAUCCGGCCUGCCGAAGCUGGAAGCUGAACCUGCGGUCAUGUCCCGGCUGGUCGCGUCCAGAACUGCGGCGCCACAGUGCGAUCCAGCCCGCACGUAGGCUUCAAGACACUGCACGCAACUACGUUCCCGGCACGCUGUCGCCGCAGGUCCGAGAUACGACGAACGCGUCGUUGAGGGGGCGUUGGGCCCUUGAGCCAAACCGGGGCCGCUGGGCAGAAAGUCUUUCACGGGACUAUCGUCCGGCCAGUCGGGAAGCAUGCCUGCUGCCAUGGAAGAACCGAGGCUACAACUAAGGUUUUGACCCCGAGCAGGAGAGACAUCCUUGCCUUGCCAUCAGCUGGUCCCCGCAUUACACCUGCCAAGUCGUCGCCGUCGAUGACAUGUGCUACGCGCGCGUUCCGGGAGUCCCCUCGGUCCUUGGCCGCGCAGCGCCGGGCCGACCGUCCCAGCUUUAGCGGCGGCCAGCCUCCACCCGCGGUUGCCAGCGACAGGCGCCGUGCAUCCGACCGAGCUGCCGCCACGCGGCAGAGCACGGCGCGACGCUGGGGCCAGCAGAUCGUGCGCCGGCGUGCGCUACUGAACGGUGCGGCGUCGGCCAUUGCGAGGAUGCUGCAGCACGCGUUCCAGUCUUCGAUGGCAUGACGGCGUCUAUCUCCGUAGUUCUAGAAUUCCAGUUUCCCGAUGUUCCUUGUUUGGUGUAACCGGUAGGACGUCCAAAAGCAUUGUCCUCCUCCAUUCUGUGAUCUGCCGUUGAGAUACCUGCUGCCAAAAGGUUCCUCCAAGAUGUGAUUCCAAGGUGGAUGCACACGGCGACCCACUUCAUCCCUUUCAACAUCCUCAGCUGUUGCGUCCACUUUUCUCGCUCUUUCUUUUUUUCUCCCCAAAUUGCCCAGCAUUUGCUCCACCGCAUCACAGUGCUGGUUUUUGUGGUCAGCUGUGGCGACAACCCCCUCAACUCACGCCGUCCAAGAACACCGCCGGGAUCCCAGCAACGGCGUUCGACCCGCAUUUGAUUGCUUUUUUAGGCUUGUAAUAAACUUGCAUCGUUCAUUGUCAGUCUACUUCACAUGUUCUGUUCAUACUCUGCAAUAUACAGAUGCUCCUUCCUCGUAAACACUAUGCAUACUUAAUUUUAUCGCAGUUCUGUUCGAUUACCUAGCAACGGCAUUCGACCCGCAUUUGAUUGCUUUUUUUGGGCUUGUAAUAAACUUGCAUCGUUCAUUGUCAGUCUACUUCACAUGUUCUGUUCAUACUCUGCAAUAUACAGAUGCUCCUUCCUUGUAAACGCUAUGCACACUUAAUUUUAUCGCAGUUCUGUUCGAUUACUCUUCUUUUUUUUUUGUCUUGUUAUCUUAGAACACAAAGUCCGCAACGCCAUCGAUUUUAAGUUUUCGGUUCAGCUUGCAUCGCUUUCAUGAAGGAAUGAGUAAAAUAUGCACUUUUCAGGAGCGAACUCUUUUCAGCUCAUGUUUUACACUGGUUGCUGGAGAAUAACAUUUGUAUUGUUGUGUUCAUUUGCCAACGUAUUAUUAAUGUGUUGUGAUUGUGUGUUGAUUUGUUGUUGUUGGACUUCCAUGUGCGAUAUGGGUACAAUAAAUGUGCUGAGAGCAUAUACAAAAAGAAAAGGGCUGGGGAUUGUGUAGAUAGUUUAUGCGUCUCGAAUUAGAUCGGUAGACGAUCGCACGCAUUGUGCGGACGUGUGUUCGGCUUCUACAGAAGACAGAUUCUCUUUCUACCAGUGGAAAUUCGAUUUUAGUUCGCUCGAAAUUUCAAUUAAAACUGUUCUAUUCUUUA